GGACAUGGUGGUGAACAGGUCAGGUGUGGUCCUUCCCUUCUGCAGAUCACAGCCUAUCGUCAGAGCCAGGAGAGGAACUAGGCCAACGAGGGAGUUGCAAGAUGUCCUGGGACCACAGGAGAGAGGAGUCCAGGAAGGCUCUAUCUGAGCUGAGACGGAGUGAGAAGGGGAAACAGCCCCAGCAGGUCUGGAGACAGAAGACAGGAGUUUUGUCACAGGCUUCCCCAGUCCCGGGCUCUGCAAACUGGGGUGAACUCUUUACCUCUCUGAAUGCUGACUUGGGAGUCAGUCCAACUUCGGCUCCUAUCCCAUCCCUGCCACGUUGACCAGAUGAUGUUGAGCAAGUCACUUCAAAACCUCCCUGAAUGCACAUUUGAUUUGAUUUGAAUGCAAAUCAAAAUUGUGAAAAUAAAACAAACUUUCAGGACCUACCCAAUUUAUCAUGCCAAUGGGACAAGUUAGGCCCUGGAAAUGGAGUCACAUAACAGGACCGCUCUCUGACCAUUUCCUCCUGAUUUUUGUGUUGAGAUUGUUAUAGGUUAACCAGGCAGCCCCUGAUUGAUUCUUUAUUCAAACCUGGACUAAAUGACUGGCAGACAGACACCUGAUGAUCCUUACCUCUUUACAAAUGAGUGUUAAGCAGCCCCCUUAAAGUGUAAUCAAUAGUAGCCAAUCAAAUCUUGAUUCUCUAUAUUAACCUUUGUAUGGAAACUGUAAUCGUGUUGCACGCCCCUGUUUUUGGCGGUAUAAACCGUCCUCACCUCACCACACACAGGGAAGCACUGAUCACUAUUCUCUGGUUUCCCUGUUUUCCUACUGCCCUCACACUUUGCUCUGGAAUGAACGUCUUUAGGAAAAAAAAACAAAAAACCUUGGACUGGCAUCUCAUCUGUAACGAGAAAAUAGUAGGACUUGGGUCAUUGGAUUGACGUGCCGGUAAAAUGAGAAAAUGUGUGUGACGCCACCAAACUGCCCUGGGGCAUAGUAACUUGGAUACAUAGGGGCCAGAGUUCUGUCAUCCUUCAUCUUAUUGUGACACCUAGCUCCUUUUACCCAUAGGACAACUGAGGGCUGACGUGGUGUAAUCCACUCAAGUUGCCGUAAGGAGCAGGUUGCAGGCACAGGGAGCUGAGAUCUUCCGACCUCUAGACAGGCUUUUGCAUCAGCAGAGACAAUCCCUGUCUGGAAUGUGGGGUAGUUAUUCCCUUUAUAGAGCAGACCUGGGUAUCGCCUCAUUCAGCUCCUGCCUGGGCUAGAAGAGAAGGCACAGGCUCCGAGUGUCUU
rnacentral:lncRNA from 1 species